rnacentral:ncRNA from 1 species
UGAUAGCAAUGAAGCGCGAGGUUGCCGCUAAGAGAUAGCGGGUUUUCCGUGGAGCGAAUGUCAAGUUAGGAAACUGACGACAA